rnacentral:snRNA from 1 species
GUGCUUAUUUCCACAGCACACAUACUAAAAUUGGAAUGAUACAGAGAUUGGCAUGGCCCCUGUGGAAGACUCGCAGAUUUUCCUAAGUAUAAAGCAAUGAAU